rnacentral:rRNA from 1 species
UGGGGAAUAUUGGACAAUGGGCGAAAGCCUGAUCCAGCCACGCCGCGUGUGUGAAGAAGGUCUUCGGAUUGUAAAGCACUUUAAGUUGGGAGGAAGGGCAUUAACCUAAUACGUUAGUGUUUUGACGUUACCGACAGAAUAAGCACCGGCUAACUCUGUGCCAGCAGCCGCGGUAAUACAAAGGGUGCAAGCGUUAAUCGGAAUUACUGGGCGUAAAGCGCGCGUAGGUGGUUUGUUAAGUUGGAUGUGAAAGCCCCGGGCUCAACCUGGGAACUGCAUCCAAAACUGGCAAGCUAGAGUACGGUAGAGGGUGGUGGAAUUUCCUGUGUAGCGGUGAAAUGCGUAGAUAUAGGAAGGAACACCAGUGGCGAAGGCGACCACCUGGACUGAUACUGACACUGAGGUGCGAAAGCGUGGGGAGCAAACA